rnacentral:rRNA from 1 species
AACGCGUGGGAAUCUACCUUGCAGCGGGGGACAACCAGGAGAAAUCCUGGCUAAUACCGCAUACGCUCUACGGAGGAAAGCCGGGGAUCUUCGGACCUGGCACUGCAAGAUGAGCCCGCGUUGGAUUAGCUAGUAGGUGAGGUAAAGGCUCACCUAGGCGACGAUCCAUAGCUGGUCUGAGAGGAUGAUCAGCCACACUGGGACUGAGACACGGCCCAG